UAAGUGCUGAAAGCAUCUAAGCAUGAAGCCCCCCUCAAGAUGAGAUUUCCCAACUUCGGUUAUAAGAUCCCUCAAAGAUGAUGAGGUUAAUAGGUUCGAGGUGGAAGCAUGGUGACAUGUGGAGCUGACGAAUACUAAUCGAUCGAAGACUUAAUCAA
rnacentral:rRNA from 1 species